CGGACGGGUGAGUAACACGUGGAUAACCUACCUAUAAGACUGGGAUAACUUCGGGAAACCGGAGCUAAUACCGGAUAAUAUAUUGAACCGCAUGGUUCAAUAGUGAAAGACGGUUUUGCUGUCACUUAUAGAUGGAUCCGCGCCGCAUUAGCUAGUUGGUAAGGUAACGGCUUACCAAGGCAACGAUGCGUAGCCGACCUGAGAGGGUGAUCGGCCACACUUGAACUGAGACACGGUCCAGACUCCUACGGGAGGCAGCAGUG
rnacentral:rRNA from 1 species